rnacentral:misc_RNA from 1 species
GUGAAUCAUCAAAUUUUUGAACGCACAUUGCACUUUCUGGUAUUCCGGAGCGUAUGCCUGUUUGAGGGUCAGUUAAAUCAACAUCGGUGUUGUUGCUGCUUUUCGUGGUGAGGCGUCGGAAUUGAGUUGUCUUACAUUCGGUUAAGUGACUUGAAUUUUUGUCUGAUUUUCGAACGUAUUUACAUUUCUUACGUACGUUACAU